GUUAAGCGACUAAGCGUACACGGUGGAUGCCCUGGCAGUCAGAGGCGAUGAAGGACGUGCUAAUCUGCGAUAAGCGUCGGUAAGGUGAUAUGAACCGUUAUAACCGGCGAUUUCCGAAUGGGGAAACCCAGUGUGUUUCGACACACUAUCAUUAACUGAAUCCAUAGGUUAAUGAGGCGAACCGGGGGAACUGAAACAUCUAAGUACCCCGAGGAAAAGAAAUCAACCGAGAUUCCCCCAGUAGCGGCGAGCGAACGGGGAGCAGCCCAGAGCCUGAAUCAGUGUGUGUGUUAGUGGAAGCGUCUGGAAAGGCGCGCGAUACAGGGUGACAGCCCCGUACACAAAAAUGCACAUGCUGUGAGCUCGAUGAGUAGGGCGGGACACGUGGUAUCCUGUCUGAAUAUGGGGGGACCAUCCUCCAAGGCUAAAUACUCCUGACUGACCGAUAGUGAACCAGUACCGUGAGGGAAAGGCGAAAAGAACCCCGGCGAGGGGAGUGAAAAAGAACCUGAAACCGUGUACGUACAAGCAGUGGGAGCACGCUUAGGCGUGUGACUGCGUACCUUUUGUAUAAUGGGUCAGCGACUUAUAUUCUGUAGCAAGGUUAACCGAAUAGGGGAGCCGAAGGGAAACCGAGUCUUAACUGGGCGUUAAGUUGCAGGGUAUAGACCCGAAACCCGGUGAUCUAGCCAUGGGCAGGUUGAAGGUUGGGUAACACUAACUGGAGGACCGAACCGACUAAUGUUGAAAAAUUAGCGGAUGACUUGUGGCUGGGGGUGAAAGGCCAAUCAAACCGGGAGAUAGCUGGUUCUCCCCGAAAGCUAUUUAGGUAGCGCCUCGUGAAUUCAUCUCCGGGGGUAGAGCACUGUUUCGGCAAGGGGGUCAUCCCGACUUACCAACCCGAUGCAAACUGCGAAUACCGGAGAAUGUUAUCACGGGAGACACA
rnacentral:rRNA from 1 species